ensembl:lncRNA
CUUAGUAUCCAUUUGUAACAGUUCCUUAGCCUUCCCUCUUCCAUUGUGAUCUUGACACUUAGAGUACUUGACAGGACUGGAGAGCGCCCGAGGGUCUCGAACUAGCCUCAGAGAAGUUCUUUAUGGAUUAUACCUGCAUAUUUUGUAGCUUCAUUGGCAUGAAUACAUCAUGUGAAAUGCUGGGCUGGAUGAGUCACAAGGUGGAAUCAAGAUUGCCAGGAGAAAUAUUGACAGUCUCAGGUAUGCAGAUGAUACCACCCUUAUGGCAGAAAGCAAAGAGGAACUAAAGAGCCUCUUGAUGAAAAGAGCCUCUUGAUGAUGAAAGUGAAAGAGGAGAGUGAAAAAGCUGGCUUAAAAUUCAACAGUCAAAAAAACUAAGAUCAUAGUAUCUGGUUCAUCACUUCAUGGCAAAUAGAAGGGGAGGAGUUGGAAGUAGUGACAGAUAUAUUUUCUUGGGCUCCAAAAUCACCACAGUGACUGCAGCCAUGAAAUUAAGACACUUGCUCCCUGGAAGGAAAGCUGUCACAAACCUAGACAGUGUAUUAAAAAGCAGAGACAUCACUUUGCUGACAAAGAUCUAGUCAAAGCUAUAGUUUUCCAGUAGUCAUGCAUGGAUGAGAGUUGGACCAUAAAGAAGGCUGAG